UGCGAGUUGGUGUAAUGGUAGCAUCCAAGGCUCAUGAUCUUGAAGAGAUUGUUCAAAUCAAUCACUCGCAC